UUUUAGUUUAAUUAUAUGUACAGUAAAAUAAAGAUUUAUAAUAUCUAUCUAUCUAUCUAUCUAUCUAUACUAAUAAAUGAGAGUUUUCUCUCUUCUCCUGCUGCCACAUCAGCAUGGAGGUAUGGGCAAAAUAAGACACGUGUCUUCUUCUUUCUAACAUAUAAUGUGAUUAAUUUUCUUUGGGCCAGCGUAAGAGAUCGUGCUAUAUUGUAAGCCCGAACGUAGUGUUUUCAUGUGGACUUCAUGAAAUAAAUUUCACAACCACUAAGAUCCAUUAAAUUAGGUUAAUAUUCCCCUAUAUCCUUUCUCAAUUUAUCUCAGACGUAUCAAUUACUCUUGAAUCCACCGCCUCUUUAUAACCUUCGUCGUUACUUCCAGGUUUCACUAGCAUGCAAUUUAUUGUAUGUUCUUAAUAACGACAUUUAAUCAUAGCAAUCCACAACUCCACAUCCUUCCAGCUUCCCUGCCUUCCUUACCAAUUUCUGACACUAUAUAUAUGAAGCCGAAGGAGAAGGUUCUGCUCAUCUUUAAGUCGCGCUAUUCUAUUAUAGCAAACUAUCUGUAAGAGUUGGUAUAAUCAUGGCAAACCCUCAACUGCUUCUGUCUGAAGCUGAAGGCUGGUUGGUGUAAGGAUACCGAUGUCACACACCUCCUCCAUUUUUGGGAAGCAGAGAACGUGAAGAAAGGUGGAGAGCUAAUGAGGAUCAAUUUGGUCAUUGGUUAUGAGAAGACCACGCUCAUCUAGGACUCUAUUAGCAUCCAUCAUAAAAUCAUACAUGAAGGUUGGAUAUCAAAGAUUAUGUCACAUGAUUUGAGGAUCUUGAACCUGCGUAAGUAUCAGUUCACCGGCCAUUUACCACUUGCAUAAUUUUAUUAAGUUACUAAUUGAGACAGCGUGGUAGCAGCAUAGGAUCUGGAUUUGAGUAUUCUUUGGUAAGCCAAGGCUUCCAAGGUUUUGUUGUCUUCCAAGGAAUAAUUUUCAAAACGAGUUAUUAUUCUUUACUUUCUCACCAAUUGAUACAUAUAUCAUUUAGAAAGGUUUCAUGUCUUGACGCUUUUUAACAUAUGAAUGAAGUGCGGUAAGAGAUGUGAGCAUCCCACCAAGGACAAGGCUUUGGACACUGUGAUACAGACCAUAUCAAGAGGUUUGAAACCAACUUGAUGAAAGACUGGAUGUGUUAAAUAUUACUAAUUGGAUGGAACCGUUCUCUGUUUUUUGAGUGCAGGAUCUUCAAAAGUUUAUAUUUUAAUGACUUGGCCUUCAUAUAAUUAAGCAUGACAAGAAACACAGUAUUUGAAGUAUAUCAAUCAUUAUUGGCAAUUAGAUUGCCUUUCUUUAGUGUGGCAUUGUAUACAAGGCCGUUCAAUAAAGAGUUAAAAGUUUUCAAAUUGUAAUACUUAACAUUUGUAUGGAUUUUCUUUAGUUUCUGAGAUGAGCUCUGCAAACACAGAAUGCGAUAAAUCUAUAAUGACAGAUUGAAGAGUUCCCAUUGACCUGAUCAACUUAUUUUGUACGUAAGAUUGGCAUCAUGGCCUCUCCGGAAGAAAAGAAAUUAACAACUGCGUUGCUGCAUUAACUAACAAUUUAUUAAGCCUAACAAUUGUAACAAACAGUCAUUACAACUGCA